AUCAACUUUCGAUGGUAGGAUAGAGGCCUACCAUGGUGGUAACGGGUAACGGGACGUUAGGGCACGACACCGGAGAGGGAGCCUGAGAAACGGCUACCACAUCCAAGGAAGGCAGCAGGCACGCAAAUUAGCCAAUCCCGACACAGGGAGGUAGUGACAAUAAAUAACAAUACAGGGUUCUUUGAAUUUUGUAAUUGGAAUGAGUACAAUUUAAAUCUCUUAACGAGGAACAAUUGGAGGGCAAGUCUGGUGCCAGCAGCCGCGGUAAUUCCAGCUCCAAUAGCGUAUAUUAAAGUUGUUGCAGUUAAAAAGCUCGUAGUUGAAUUUCAGGAUCAAUACGUCGGUCGUGCUUUUUGGUACGUACUGGCGUUAUUGGUUUCUCCCUUCUGACGAACCAUGAUGUCAUUAAUUUGGUGUUAUGGGGAAUUAGGACUGUUACUUUGAAAAAAUUAGAGUGUUUAAAGCAGGCAUUAGCUUGAAUACAUUAGCAUGGAAUAAUGAAAUAGGAUGUUCGAUCCUAUUUUGUUGGUUUCUAGGAUCAACGUAAUGAUUAAUAGGGAUAGUUGGGGGCAUUAGUAUUCAAUUGUCAGAGGUGAAAUUCUUGGAUUUAUUGAAGACUAACUACUGCGAAAGCAUUUGCCAAGGAUGUUUUCAUUAAUUAAGAAGGAAAGUUAGGGGAUCGAAGACGAUCAGAUACCAUCAUAGUCUUAACUAUAAACUAUGCCGACUAGGGAUCGGAUGAUGUCAAAUUUUUAAUGACUCAUUCGGCGCCUUACGGGAAACCAAAGUGUUUGGGUUC
rnacentral:rRNA from 1 species